rnacentral:rRNA from 1 species
AUCACUUGUCUUUUAAAUAAAGACCCGUAUGAACGGCACAACGAGGGCUCAACUGUCUCCUCUCCCCCGUCAACGAAAUUGAUCCCCCCGUGCAGAAGCGGGAAUACCCCCAUAAGACGAGAAGACCCCAUGAAGCUUCAGACACUAAACAACCCCCACUAACGGCCCUCCCCCAUCAGGAAAAUAACACCCCUUCCCGCUUGUCUUCGGUUGGGGCGACCCCGGGGAAAAGCCCCCUCGCGGACCGAGGGCACUGCCCUUACAGCUAAGACCCCCGGCUCCAGGCAACAGAAUUUCUGGCCCAAACGAUCCGGCACACGCCGAUCCACGAACCAAGUUACCCUGGGGAUAACAGCGCAAUC